AUUACUAAAGGCUUUAGUAAAUUGACCUGUCAGUUUUUAGUGAACAUUAUGGACUCAUUACAUUUUUAACGUAUGUCUGUUCAGUAGAUGUAUCUAGAAAUUAAAGGGUUAAGGGGGCAAAAAGGAAGCAUUUUGUUCUCUAAAAUAUAUAUGAUGUGAUUUGUAAGUUUCUAUUACUUUUUUCACUUCUCUUUAGAUUUCCCUGGACUACUACUACAAAACUAGUUAUGCAAUCAUGUUGUUCCUCUUCCCCUGCUUCGUUAUAAAGUCUAGCAUGCUUUGUGAUCUCUACAAAAGUUCUUUAUCUUUGCAAACUGCUAACUUCUACAUCAGGUAUGUCAUUUGAUCAUCCUUUUUUUAUAUUGCACACAUAAUACUGGAGCGUGAAAAACUUUGCUAAUUGAUGGUUCUGAAGCAGUUGUAACUAAAUGAUUAUUUUUCAUCCAGAUAUAAUGUCAGUGAUUACUCAGGAGCCUGCAACUACACGCUAUGGAACUAUAUCUCUAGAUGGAAAGUGGAGUACUGGACUGUUUGACUGUUGUGAGGACUGUGGAAUUUGUAAGUAGAAUGAUACAAUUUAAAUGUACAUACAUUUGCAUGUCUCUAUAGCUUACAAGGAAACUAUAGAUUUUCAUGGAUUUUAGAACCUUAAGGAAACUGAGAAAAAAAACUUCCUAUUUUUAUUCGUUAUAAUAAUAAUGCUUUAAAAAAAAAAAAAAAAUGAGUUAAGAAAAUAAAAAAACAAAACAAAACAAAAUCAAAUUUUUUACUGCCGGCAGACCUGUCCCACACCAGAAAAUAAAACCUGCUUAACACCAGUUUAUUAAAUAAGAAGUUUUUGCUCAAGAGCACGCCAACCAUCAUGAGUGGAAUUGGUUUGUAAAUGGAUAACAGCAAACGGAUAGCCCAGGUCACGGUUUGCUGAAAUGUCUCUUUUAAGCUCUUGGCAUAGCUUGAGUCUACACAUGAGCGCUCUUGAGCAUGGCACUUUCUCGUCAAAGGGAAAGGAGCCCAGCCUCAGUUGUGCAUGUGGCAUGCGGUCACUGAAUGUAAAAUCUUGGACAAAAUGAACACAGUCAGGUUUUUUCACUGUCUGACAGCUCUUAAAUGCAGGAUUAGAUCUUCAAUUUGCACAAGUCCUUGCAGUGCUAAGAGCUGAAAGUUGGUGCAGGGUGCGUUAAAACAAAUUUGGCAGUAUAGAGCAAUCCUAUGAGUAUGACUGAGUUUUCUACAUGGUCAUACCUAUAAUUUCCAUCCACCUAUCUCUAUUUCUUGGCUUCGUAAGCAUUGGGAGGUACAGUUGUACUCAAAAGUUUGCAUACCUGGGCAAAAUUUUUGAAAUUGUAGCAUUGAUUUUAAAAAUAUGACUGAUCAUGCAAAAAAUAUAUAUUUUAUUGAAGGAUAGUGAUUGUAUGAAGCCAUUUAUUAUCACAUAGUUGUUUGGAUCCUUUUUAAAUCAUAAUGAUAGCAGAAAUCACCCAAAUAGCCCUGAUCAAAAGUUUACAUAACCUUGAAUGUUUGGCCUUGUUACAGACGCACAAGGUGACACACACAGGGUAAAAUGGCAAUUAAAGGUUAAUUUUUCACACCUGUGGCUUUUUAAAUUGCAAUUGGUGUCUGUGUAAAAAUAGUCAAUGAGUCUGUUAGCUCUCAUGUGGAUGCACUGAGCAGGCUAGAUACUUAGCCAUGGGGAGCAAAAAAGAACUGUCAAAAGACAUGCAUCACAAGGUAAUGGAACUUUAUAAAGAUGGAAAGAGAUAUAAAAAAAUAUCCAAAGUCUUAAAAAUGCCAGUCAGUACUGUUCAAUCACUUAUUAAGAAGUGGAAAAUUCAGGGAUCUCUUGAUACCAAGCCAAGGUCAGGUAGAUCAAGAAAGAUUUCAGUCACAAUUACCAGAAAAAUUGUUCGAGAUACAAAGAAAAACCCACGGGUAACCUCAGGAGAAAUACAGGCUGCUCUGGAAAAAGAUGGUGUGGUUGUUUCAAAGAGCACAAUAUGAUGAUACUUGAACAAAAGCUGCAUGGUCAAGUUGCAAGAAAGAAGCCUUUACUGUGCCAAUGCCACAAAAAAGACAGAUUACAGUAUGCCUCACAGCUUUUUGCACAUUGUAAUUUAAAAUGACAAGGCCAAAAUAGAGCUUUAUGGUCACACCCAUAGGCGCUAUGUAGCUGCACCGGGGCCUGCACGCUGAUGGGGCCCAUUGGGUGACCCAAGCAUUUAGGGCCGUGUGAUAGUGCAAGCAUAUAGGGCCCUAUAUCUUCAGGAGCCCGGUCAGCGCUGCGGCUGUGUAAUAGUGCGGUAGGAGAGACAGCAUGGAAGCCGUGAAGAGGGAGAGUUAGCUGACUCCCAUUAGCCCAAGCCACCCUCCUGCAAUGAAAAGGUAAGAAACAGGAGGGUGGCUGAAAAGUGAUAUGCACGUGUGUAUGUGUAUGUCUGUCUGUAUGUCAGUAUGUAAGUUAGUAUAUAUGUCUGUCUGUACGUAUGUCAGUAUGCACGUACGUCAGUAUGCACGUUUGUGUGUGUUACUAUGUAUGUCUGUAUAUGUCUCAGUAUGUGUGUGUCUGUGUGUCACUAUGUAUGCCUAUAUGUGUGUGUGUCUGUUUCAGUAUGCGUGUCUGUUAGUAUGAAUCUGUGUCCUUUUGUAUCAGUGCGUGUGUUUGUGUCUGUGUGAGUAUUCCUGUGGGCGGAAUUUGGAGGUGGGCUUGUUAGAGGCCCCAUCAUUUCUGAUGGCAGCCCUGAUCUGUAGUAUCUUGUACUUGCAGUUACAUGUAUUAAUUAAUAAUCUGGCUGUUAGGAUUUGAUUGGCAAAAUUCUAAAUUGUAGAUCACAACUGUUUCUUGUUCCCUCCCACUCCUCCCCCAUGCUUGCCACUCCUAGCUGUAAAUUCCAUGAAAUAACUGUUUCUCUUUAUUGCUCCCUAGGCCCAAUCCCCAUACCACCUUUGGAGCAAGCCUCUUCAAUUCUACUCGGCUCAACCCACCCACCCAGGUUCCCCCUAAAUUUAUAGCAUGCUCCUUCAGCUGUUUAAAAUUCUCACUCAAUUACCUCUUCAUUCCCUUUAUAUUCUACCAAUAGCUGCAACUCUCUGUUUACUUAUUUAGCCAUCACUUCCAAAUUUCCCCUGCUACCUCUUGUCUCAAAUCCCCACGGUAUCCUCUAGAUUGUAAGCUCAUGGGCUAUCUGGCUAUGCACCUUCUAUAAAAGCUAGAUUUCAGCUUACGGGCAGGGCCCUCUCUACCUUUUGUAUUUGUGUGUAUAUUGUAUGUUCUCCACUAAUUGUACAGCGCUGUGGAAUCUUUGGCGCUUUAUAAAUACCAGUAAUAAAUAUGUAUGUAUUUUUGUGUAUAUAUUUAUGUAUGUAUGUGUCUAUGUAUAAGUCUGUAUGUCCUUAUGCAUGUGUGUGUCUGUAUGUAUGUUAGUAUGUGUCUGUGUAUCACUAUGUAUGUCUGUAUAUGUGUAUAUGUCUAUUUCAAUAUGUGUGUGUCAGUAUGUAUGCCUAUAUGUGUGUAUGUGUGUAUCUGUGUCCUUUUGUAUCAGUGCGUGUGUUUGUUUCUGUGUGCGUAUUCCCGGGGGCGGGCUUGGAGACCUUGAGCUGUGUUAGGGGCCCAAAACUUUCUGAUGGCAGCCCUGGUGCCACUUUUCCUCCUUGACCUUUGCAUUGCUAAAUGAGAGUACUUGAUCUGCACCUGGAGAUAAAAUGCAUCUUGCUCCCUCUUGCAUGGGUGCAGUGGGCCAGUGAGGGAGAUUGUUGACUGAUUUGCUUCUUUAAGCCGGUGUUCACUGUGGGUUGGCCUUGCAUGGGCUGGCCAGAGAUAUGCUUUGAUUUGCCUGAUAGGCAGUCUGGGCUUUUCUGAGAAGAAAGCCCUAUCUGUCCUUUAAAACAAACAAAAUAUACUAUGUAUGUAAAGACAAAAUGUUAAAUCAUAAUGAACAUAUAACAGGUACCAAAGGUCUAACGCACAGAAUCUUAGAAAAACCUCAGUAAUUAAAAGAUUAAGUGAAAAACGUUAAAUCAUUAACUCAUCUCUCAAACUGAGUGACUAGUUUUGUCUUAAUAGAGGGAAUCAUUAUCAGAAGUAUUAAAUGCAUUCAGUAUAAUGAAAUAAUAAUUGGUUUGUCUCUUGUAGGCCUAUUUGGACUUUGCUUCCCAUCAUGCCUUGGCUGUUAUGUAGCUAAAAAAUAUGGAGAAAAUUGCUGUUUACCGGUCGUUCCUGGUGCCAUGACUGCAUUGCGUACUCACAUGCGUUUGACGUAUGGCAUUAGAG
rnacentral:lncRNA from 1 species